CUAAAAUCGGACACUCGAGUAGGCAAACACCGCUGAGACCUCCACAAGCCUGGUCCGUUCGGUUCCAAACUACCGAACGGCCCCUCGUUCGGUAGAUAGAAAGAACCGAACGAGGGGAUUCAGGCGAACCCUCACUAGCCUCUAUAGCUAGAGGUUUUCGUGUAUUUAAUUCCCUUAGGCCAGGACCGACCGCAGGGCCCAUUCGCAUGGAACCUCAUUCGGCUAUCUCAGUUAGUGCGGUCGGUCAUUUUAUUCUCU
rnacentral:lncRNA from 1 species